AGCGAACGCUGGCGGCAGGCCUAACACAUGCAAGUCGAACGAACUCUUCGGAGUUAGUGGCGGACGGGUGAGUAACACGUGGGAACGUGCCUUUAGGUUCGGAAUAACUCAGGGAAACUUGUGCUAAUACCGAAUGUGCCCUUCGGGGGAAAGAUUUAUCGCCUUUAGAGCGGCCCGCGUCUGAUUAGCUAGUUGGUGAGGUAAAGGCUAACCAAGGCGACGAUCAGUAGAUGGUCUGAGAGGAUGAUCAGCCACAUUGGGACUGAGACACGGCCCAAACUCCUACGGGAGGCAGCAGUGGGGAAUCUUGCGCAAUGGGCGAAAGCCUGACGCAGCCAUGCCGCGUGAAUGAUGAAGGUCUUAGGAUUGUAAAAUUCUUUCACCGGGGACGAUAAUGACGGUACCCGGAGAAGAAGCCCCGGCUAACUUCGUGCCAGCCGCCGCCGUAA
rnacentral:rRNA from 1 species